GUUAUAUGGUCAAGUGAAGAAGCGCAUACGGUGGAUGCCUUGGCAGUCAGAGGCGAUGAAAGACGUGGUAGCCUGCGAAAAGCUUUGGGGAGUCGGCAAACAGACUGUGAUCCAGAGAUCUCUGAAUGGGGGAACCCAGCCAGCAUAAGCUGGUUAUCUUGUACUGAAUACAUAGGUGCAAGAGGCGAACCAGGGGAACUGAAACAUCUAAGUACCCUGAGGAAAAGAAAUCAACCGAGAUUCCCUUAGUAGUGGCGAGCGAACGGGGACCAGCCCUUAAGUUGGUUUGAGAUUAGUGGAACGCUCUGGAAAGUGCGGCCAUAGUGGGUGAUAGCCCCGUACACGAAAAUCUCUUAUCAAUGAAAUCGAGUAGGACGGAGCACGAGAAACUUUGUCUGAAUAUGGGGGGACCAUCCUCCAAGGCUAAAUACUACUGACUGACCGAUAGUGAACUAGUACCGUGAGGGAAAGGCGAAAAGAACCCCGGAGAGGGGAGUGAAAUAGAUCCUGAAACCGUAUGCGUACAAGCAGUGGGAGCCUACUUUGUUAGGUGACUGCGUACCUUUUGUAUAAUGGGUCAGCGACUUAUAUUCAGUGGCGAGCUUAACCGAAUAGGGGAGGCGUAGCGAAAGCGAGUCUUAAUAGGGCGUUUAGUCGCUGGGUAUAGACCCGAAACCGGGCGAUCUAUCCAUGGGCAGGUUGAAGGUUAGGUAACACUGACUGGAGGACCGAACCGACUACCGUUGAAAAGUUAGCGGAUGACCUGUGGAUCGGAGUGAAAGGCUAAUCAAGCUCGGAGAUAGCUGGUUCUCCUCGAAAGCUAUUUAGGUAGCGCCUCAUGUAUCACUGUAGGGGGUAGAGCACUGUUUCGGCUAGGGGGUCAUCCCGACUUACCAAACCGAUGCAAACUCCGAAUACCUACAAGUGCCGAGCAUGGGAGACACACGGCGGGUGCUAACGUCCGUCGUGAAAAGGGAAACAACCCAGACCGUCAGCUAAGGUCCCAAAGUCAUGGUUAAGUGGGAAACGAUGUGGGAAGGCUUAGACAGCUAGGAGGUUGGCUUAGAAGCAGCCACCCUUUAAAGAAAGCGUAAUAGCUCACUAGUCGAGUCGGCCUGCGCGGAAGAUGUAACGGGGCUCAAACCAUGCACCGAAGCUACGGGUAUCACCUUUUGGUGAUGCGGUAGAGGAGCGUUCUGUAAGCCUGUGAAGGUGAGUUGAGAAGCUUGCUGGAGGUAUCAGAAGUGCGAAUGCUGACAUGAGUAACGACAAUGCGAGUGAAAAACUCGCACGCCGAAAGACCAAGGUUUCCUGCGCAACGUUAAUCGACGCAGGGUUAGUCGGUCCCUAAGGCGAGGCUGAAAAGCGUAGUCGAUGGAAAACAGGUUAAUAUUCCUGUACUUCCAGUUAUUGCGAUGGAGGGACGGAGAAGGUUAGGCCAGCCUGGCGUUGGUUGUCCAGGUUUAAGGUGGUAGGCUGGAAUCUUAGGCAAAUCCGGGAUUCUAAGGCCGAGAGCUGAUGACGAGUUGCCAUUAGGCGACGAAGUGGUUGAUACCAUGCUUCCAAGAAAAGCUCCUAAGCUUCAGAUAACUGGGAACCGUACCCCAAACCGACACAGGUGGUUAGGUAGAGAAUACCAAGGCGCUUGAGAGAACUCGGGUGAAGGAACUAGGCAAAAUGGCACCGUAACUUCGGGAGAAGGUGCGCCGGCGAGGGUCAAGGACUUGCUCCGUAAGCCCAUGCCGGUCGAAGAUACCAGGCCGCUGCGACUGUUUAUUAAAAACACAGCACUCUGCAAACACGAAAGUGGACGUAUAGGGUGUGACGCCUGCCCGGUGCCGGAAGGUUAAUUGAUGGGGUUAGCGCAAGCGAAGCUC
rnacentral:rRNA from 1 species